rnacentral:rRNA from 1 species
GACGAACGCUGGCGGCACGCCUAACACAUGCAAGUCGAACGGAGUUAUGAGAGCUUGCUUUCAUAACUUAGUGGCGGACGGGUGAGUAACACGUGAGCAACCUACCUUUAAGAAAGGGAUAGCUUCUGGAAACGGAUGGUAAUACCUUAUAACAUAGAAAUACGGCAUCGUAUUUUUAUCAAAGAUUUUAUCGCUUAAAGAUGGGCUCGCGGCUGAUUAGCUAGAUGGUGAGGUAAUGGCUCACCAUGGCGACGAUCAGUAGCCGGACUGAGAGGUUGAACGGCCACAUUGGGACUGAGACACGGCCCAGACUCCUACGGGAGGCAGCAGUGGGGGAUAUUGCACAAUGGAGGAAACUCUGAUGCAGCGAUGCCGCGUGGAGGAAGAAGGUCUUCGGAUUGUAAAACUCCUGUUAUCGGGGACGAAGAUGACGGUACCCGACGAGGAAGCUCCGGCUAACUACGUGCCAGCAGCCGCGGUAAAAGUCAACGUCG